rnacentral:lncRNA from 1 species
UUGCAUCACCAUCCCUUCCACAGCUGUGCAUUGAGAAAAUUUAUGACCACUGUCAAAGAUACUUAAACACCUCACACGAUCUCAUGUGAUGGGACACGGACAUAAUGACCCCUUGUCCUCUCACCCUUGACUUUAAUCCUCCAUUUUUUGGAGAAUAGACCCUUGCCAAAAUUGCGGCACCGACCCUCGACUUGAUCAUGGGUUCCGACACCUUGUCGAUCCAUACGUUAGCUGAUCUUUCUCAAGCUAGCGCUCGGGCAUCAAGCAUUGAGCCAAGAAAGGUCCGACUAUCUCCGAAGAUUUUGAGUCAAUCCUUACGCCUAAUCAGUCUUUGGAUCAUAUGCUAUUACAACUUAUCGUAUAUCAGGAGGCUGAUCUUUUUUCGAGCCCCACAUAGUGGGCUAAACCGAUCCUUAGGUCGCAUCGAGCCCUACUUGUCCGACCCCCUGCUGACCUUAGAUGGUCCACUUUGAAGGAUCUUCUAGCCUUCUUCUUGACCCUCGACCUUUAUCGUAGUCAACCAAUGGAU